rnacentral:tRNA from 1 species
GGAUAUAGCUCAGUGGUUUGAGGGCUUGCCUAGUAUGUUCAGGGUCCUGGGUUCAAUCCCCAGUACCA